rnacentral:rRNA from 1 species
CAAGUCGAACGGCACCCCUCUCCGGAGGGAAGCGAGUGGCGAACGGCUGAGUAACACGUGGAGAACCUGCCCCCUCCCCCCGGGAUAGCCGCCCGAAAGGACGGGUAAUACCGGAUACCCCCGGGCGCCGCAUGGCGCCCGGGCUAAAGCCCCGACGGGAGGGGAUGGCUCCGCGGCCCAUCAGGUAGACGGCGGGGUGACGGCCCACCGUGCCGACAACGGGUAGCCGGGUUGAGAGACCGACCGGCCAGAUUGGGACUGAGACACGGCCCAGACUCCUACGGGAGGCAGCAUG